CGUAGGGUGCGAGCGUUAAUCGGAAUUACUGGGCGUAAAGCGUGCGCAGGCGGUUAUGCAAGACAGAUGUGAAAUCCCCGGGCUCAACCUGGGAACUGCAUUUGUGACUGCAUAGCUAGAGUACGGUAGAGGGGGAUGGAAUUCCGCGUGUAGCAGUGAAAUGCGAAGAUAUGCGGAGGAACACCGAUGGCGAAGGCAAUCCCCUGGACCUGUACUGACGCUCAUGCACGAAAGCGUGGGGAGCAAACAGGAUUAGAUACCCUGGUAGUCCACGCCCUAAACGAUGUCAACUGGUUGUUGGGUCUUCACUGACUCAGUAACGAAGCUAACGCGUGAAGUUGACCGCCUGGGGAGUACGGCCGCAAGAUUG
rnacentral:rRNA from 1 species